rnacentral:lncRNA from 1 species
AACACAGCAACCAUGAGCAGCAUCUGCUUCCCUUGGCACAGGCUUCUGGUUAGAGACAAGAUAAUUUACAAAUAGGCCAGGCUGGUUAUGACUCAGCCCUAAUCACCACAAACAAUCCCUUUGUUUCAUCAAAGGAAAACCAGGUGGAGCACACAUCUACUGAGCACUGUGCAGCUCAGGUGCAUUAUACAGCACCUGAAGCCCAGGGAUGUGUUCAUUGGCCUCGCCCUUAAACACAGUGCAGGCUCAGGAAACCAGAUUACACCAUGACCUUGAUUAUGCAUCAUGCUUACAGCUGAUCCAGCUCAUUCUGGGGCUCCCAUGAGGCCAGACCUGCAGCAGGGACUGGCACAGCAGCCCCGAGGACUCUGACCCAGAUCCAGGAGUUGAUUUGAGAGUGGGAAGCUGAGGAAAAGGCCUGCAAGAGAUUGGCAGGAUCCCCAGGCAAACAGCAGAAACUGGCUGCCUUUCCUUUCCCCUCCACACCUUUCCUGGUUUCCACCACAGCAUGCUAGGGGGAGAGAAGAGCAGCCAAUUUUCUUUCACAGGUGCUCCACUGUGAACCCCCUGGGAAGAAGCCUUCAUCUUUGUAUCAGUUUCAAGUGUUCCCUUAUCUGUGGUUGUUCCCUGCGUUGGAAGAGUUGCCCUCCCUCACAGUUCCAAGGAGGUUCAUGCCUUCUCCUCAGCGGAGCGCAUCGAAGCAGCUCUGCACAGCCCCCGCCUCGGCACAGGAAAGGACAGAAAGUGGCUGUGGUGCCACUGCCAGGGAGCUCCCCCUUCACAGGGGCUGACCAGAGCAGCUCCUGCAGCACCUGUUACCCCGCUUUGCUCUUAAAUCAAGCUGCACUGGAAAUCGACCAAGCACAGCUCAAGUUAUUGACAGUGCCGAGCAAAGGCACAGGGAACUGCAGCGAGGGGAAGGGAGAUCAAUGGUGUCUUUGACAGAGGAAUGAAUCUGAGCAGAGCAGGGGACUCACAGAUUUGGGGAAGCUUUCUGAAGGCCCUGAAUAGCUUCCUCGAAGGCUGCAUCGCACACUGCGCUGUGACCUAGGCUCCGGUGAACGCCAGUGCCAUCCCUGGGAGUGGCCCAUGCCCGACGCGGUGACACGGCCGCUGCCGCGCGGGCGGCGGAGCCGGGCAGAUGCUGUCUGCAGCCAGGCAGGCUCUGACGCACGAGGGAUUUGGCCCAGCUAGAGCUUUGCAGAGCAUCAGCUGCACCCUUACAUCCACCUGCUACAACAGCCCUGGCAGCCAGUAGCUGCAAGGCAGGCACAGCACGGGAAACCCUCUCCUUCCCACCACGGCCUUUGCAAUUCCCAGCACAAGCAGUUACACAAAUUGUAAAAGAAAAAUCCAACCUGCAGCAUUUCUUAAUUAUUUAACCUUGGUUCAGCUCCUUUCCUGUCCUUACAUGAAAAACUUGCCUGUAGUUCUGCUUUGACUUUUCCAUGCAUAAAGACACCCCUGGUUGCUUGGUCACUAACAGGUACCCACUGCCUGCUCCCCACGUCCCAAUACCCACAAAAUACAGCUCUUAACGUCCAGAUUAGCACCAUUGUAUCGGUCAUGCACUAUGUACAGAGAAGGACUGGGGCAAAGAGGAGACUGGUGCAACCUUCCUGGAGCCACAUCAGUGAUGAGGGUGCUCCCAGUGCACAAGCAUGCUAUGGGUGAGAUGGAUUUCCACCCUAACCCCUAACACUGUCCUCCCUCCCCUUGAGAGAGCUGAGAGUGUUGUUUCUGUGGAAAAUGUGGGGUCAGGCUUGAUUACCAAACCUCUGAUCGAAGAGGAGAAAAAACUGCACACAGCAGAGAAAGCGAGUCAAGAGGAAAACAGCACAGCAGUCUCCAAACCCUGCCCUGAGCUUCUCUCAAAUUGCCCUUAACCAGUUGUUUCUUUGUGACUCAUAUUCCUCUUCUCCUUUAUCUGCCCUUUUUUCUU